rnacentral:lncRNA from 1 species
GGGGUGCCUCCCAGUUAGGCUGCCCGGGGGUCAAGGGUCAGGGACCCACUUGAGGAGGCAGUCUGCCCGUUCUCAGAUCUCCAGCUGCGUGCUGGGAGAACCACUGCUCUCUUCAAAGCUGUCAGACAGGGACAUUUAAGUCUGCAGAGGUUACUGCUGUCUUUUUGUUUGUCUGUGCCCUGCCCCCAGAGGUGGAGCCUACAGAGGCAGGCAGGCCUCCUUGAGCUGUGGUGGGCUCCACCCAGUUCCAGCUUCCAGGCUGCUUUGUUUACCUAAUCAAGCCUGGGCAAUGGCGGGCGCCCCUCCCCCAGCCUCGCUGCCGCCUUGCAGUUUGAUCUCAGACUGCUGUGCUAGCAAUCAGCGAGACUCCCUGGGCAUAGGACCCUACGAGCCAGGUGCGGGAUAUAAUCUCGUGUUGCACCGUUUUUUAAGCCUGUCGGAAAAGCGCAGUAUUCUGGUGGGAGUGACCCGAUUUUCCAGGUGCCGUCCAUCACUCCUUUCUUUGACUCAGAAAGGGAACUCCCUGACCCCUUGCGCUUCCCAAGUGAGGCAAUGCCUCGCCCUGCUUCGGCUCGCGCACGGUGCACGCACCCACUGACCUGCGCCCACUGUCUGGCACUCCCUAGUGAGAUGAACCCGGUACCUCAGAUGGAAAUGCAGAAAUCACCCGUCUUCUGCGUCGCUCACGCUGGGAGCUGUAGACCGGAGCUGUUCCUAUUCGGCCAUCUUGGCUCCUCCCUCUGAAGGUGUUAUGCUGUAGUGACACAAUGGGCAUAUGACUCACUUUGGGAAUGACAGCAGCUCCUUACCCAACACAAGACGUGAAACAAGGGCAGUGACUGCUGACUGGAGGUGAUGAAAAUGAAGAUGGUAUUGUGGGCUCUGAUUCUAGGAAAUGUCCAUAGAUGCAGAUAAGGCUGCUUAAUUCUGAUGUAAGGAAGAGACAAUGAAUUAAUUCACCCCAGGGACCUUUGUGUGGAUCGAAUUAUGUCCUCCCCACCCAAAUUUAUAUGUUGAAGUCCUAACACUCAGGACCUUGGAAUGUGACUGCAUUUGGACAUAGGGUCUUUAAAGAGGUUAUUAAUUAAAUUAAAAUGAGAUCAUUAGAGUGGGCCCUAAUCCAAUCUGGCUGGUAUCCUUACAAGAAGAGGAAAUUUGGACAUCAAUAUACAGAGGGAAGACCACAUGUAGACACGAAGAGAAGACAGCCACCUACAAGUCAAGGAGAGAGGCCUGGGAAGAAACCAACCCUGCUGACCCCUUGAUCUGUGAUUUCUAGCCUUCAGAAUUGUGAUGAAACUAAUUUUUGUUGUUUAAGCCACCCAUUCUGUAGUACCUUGUUAUGGUUUUCUUACCAAACUAAUGCAAUCUUAACUUCAAAUACUGUUUUAUGACAUUGAGUUGCUGUGGAAUGGAUUUUAUUUUAUUUUAUUAAUUUUUUUGAAAUGGAGGAGUCUUGCUCUGUCACCAGGCUGGAGUGCAGUGGCAUGAUCUCAGCUCAUUGCAGCCUCCGCCUCCUGGGUUCAAGCGAUUCUCCUGCCACAGCCUCCCGAGUAGCUGCUAUCACAGGUGCACCACAUGCAGGCCACCACACCUGGCUGAUUUUUGUACUUUUAGUAGAGACAGAGUUUCACUAUGUUGGCCAGGCUGGUCUUGAACUCCUGACCUCAGAUGAUCUGCCCUCCUCGGCCUCCCAAAGUGCUGGGAUUACAGGUGUGAGCCACUGCGCCCGGCCUAUGGAAUGAAUUUUAAUAAAUAAUUAUAAGUAGAUAUUUUUUCAUUUUAAGACACAAAGCAAUGUCAUUAGAAUCUCCUCUUGGGCAGUAGGUGUCAACGAGGUGGGUUUGGUUUUCACUGGCAAAGUGCAAGAAGUCUCCUGCAGGAUUCAAGGACAAGCAUUGCCGUUUGCUUGUCUUACGCAAGGCAGCAGGGUUUAGGCAGUGCAGAGCUAUGGUUAUAAAUACAACCUCUGGAGUUCAAAAGCACCGACCUCACUAGGUCAUUAUGAGGCCUAACUUCAUUAAGAUGUCACACAGUGUCUGCCACACCAUGAAUGCUGCGUAAGUGGUAGCUCUUGUUCUUAUUCAUGGAGUCAAAAGAAUUGGAGAUGAAAGUGACUUUCAAAUUUAUGAUUACUGUGAGCAGUAGUAAUGAUAAACUAAACAAGUAACACCGAGAAAUUAACUAAGUUAUAGUGGAGAUGUGAUAGUUGCUAGCCUUUGAGGGGUAGCCCAUACCAUUUGUUACUACCUCUUUUUCUAAUUUAACAGCUUCCUUUGAUAUCUGUUCUCAAGUUCUUUUAAACCUUAACUGAAUUUUCACCCUUGGUCUCCUCACACAUCCUUUGAGCUCUUUCAGUGCAUUGUUUUCUUCAAUUGAAUCUUGAACUCCUUACAUCUUCCCUGUUCUAACCUCCAGCACAAGAAUCUGACUCAGGGCUCAGUUGUUUCCUAGAGUCCUCUCUAUCCAGAACCUGUUUGAACAAAUGAAAUCCUCAAUGCUUCUACCUUAGAGGAAGACAACGCCAACAUAAAGAAAUUACAGUGUCUUGUGGGUUACCUCAAGACCUAAAAUAUGAUCAAUUUAUAGCUUUUAAGCCUCAAAGCAAUCGUGACCAUAUCCAAGGGUGGUUGGUGUUCUGCUUUAGUUCAUGGCAACUUUCAGCUUCAAUCUUAGAAAUCCAAAUUAUUUCUGGUUUACAUGGGAGGUCUCAUGUUUUUCAGAGACUUUGGGGAAGCAAUCCAUCUAUUUUUGUUUUGUUUUGUUUUGUUUUGUUUUGUUUUGUUUUGUUUUUGAGAUGGAGUCUUGCUCUGUCGCCCAGGCUGGAGUGCAGUGACGCGAUCUCGGCUCACUGCAACUUUCGCCUCCUGGGUUCAAGUGAUUCCCUUGCCUCAGCCUCCCGAGUAGCUGGGACUACAGGCACGCACCACCAUGCCCGGCUAUUUUUUUUGUAUUUUAGUAGAGACGGGGUUUCACCAUGUUGGCCAGGCUGGUCUUGAUCUCCUGACCUCAUGAUCUGCCCACCUCAACCUCUCAAAGUGCUGGGAUUACAGGUGUGAGAUACCGUGCCCAGCUGGGAGCAAUCAGUCAUUCUGUAAAUGAGUUCGAUUUAAAUUUACUUAUAUAGUGAAACAAAUAAUUUUAAAAAAUCAACCAUUUUACAGCACUUUUCUUUGAGAUGCCCACGUAGUGGGGAUCAAGGGCAGAAAGGUUGGGAAAAUGAGCUUUAGGUUUCUUUCUUCAACUUGUCCCAAGAUGUGUCAAUGGAAUGAAGACCUGCCACGGGCUUGCUCUGUGAGGAGUUUAGGAAAUUAACAAACUUUAUACCAUCUCCACCCCCUGCCACCCCCACCCCACCCCCCGCAAUUCUUCAGCUUGAGUGAGACUGCUGUCGCUAGAACUGCAGUCUCAUUGAUAUCUCAUGGUAUCCUAGCUUCAGGACCCAAUCUUCAGGGAAAAGCCAGCCACUGGCAGCCAGGUUUGAAGUAUAUGGAAUUUGGGCUCAGCAUCACUGCUUUUCUGUGAGUUCUGUCCUCCGGAAUUGUGCAGUGCACAGUAUACACCACUAUGCUUAGUAGCCCUCUUCCAACUCUGGCUUAAGUGCCCUGGCUCUCUUUGAAUAUCUUUCACUGAAUACCUUGGCCCUCAUCUUGCUUCCUGGUGACCCAGACCCUCUCCUGGGGAACUUUCUAUGGGCUCUUCAUCCCCUGCCCAGGAACUGAUAUGCUUCCCAACCCUGUCUCUUUUCUUUGAUACUUAUCAGUCCUUUAGAUAUUGGCAUUAUAAAACGUUGGACUAAUGUAAAAAACCGAUUUAUAAGAAGUUGAGGAUUAUUGCUGAUAUAAUAAAUGUAUAUCAAACAG